UACGUAGGGUGCAAGCGUUGUCCGGAAUUAUUGGGCGUAAAGAGCGUGUAGGCGGCCCGACCAGUCCGCUGUGAAAGUCCAGGGCUCAACCCUGGAAUGCCGGUGGAUACUGUCGGGCUAGAGUCCGGAAGGGGCGAGUGGAAUUCCUGGCGUAGCGGUGAAAUGCGCAGAUAUCAGGAGGAACACCAAUGGCGAAGGCAGCUCGCUGGGACGUGACUGACGCUGAGACGCGAAAGCGUGGGGAGCAAACAGG
rnacentral:rRNA from 1 species